AGUCAAAAAACUGCAUGCCUUCUGCUCUAUGUCAGUUCCUGAUUUUCCACCCUAAACAAUAACUAAUAAUGUUGUCACGAAAUCUUAUAAUUGCAUCAGCAGCAAUUGUUUUUUUGGCAAACGUCUCAGCUGCUCCAAUUGACGACAAAGAUCAGGAUGACAAUAAUUUUGAAGCAGAUGACGGGGAUGAGGAACUCUCUGAAG